AUUUCUGCAUCCAGCAGCCACAAUAGUCAUCGGUGUACUGCCACAGGAGGAGUUAUUUUACAGAGCAACCUGUUUUCUUCCUCGCAGGUUUAACGUCGAUUAUUUAAUUGUAUUAUUAUUCUCUAAAUUUGUAAUUUAGGACUCCGCAUGUGCUAGUAGUAGCAUUAAGCCUGUCAGGGACUGUAUGAAUUCAUGUUUGCGUAUUAAUAAAUGAAAAUAAAAAUUUUAUGAGUUUUAAA